rnacentral:rRNA from 1 species
GGUUGAUCCUGCCAGUAUUAUAUGCUGAUGUUAAAGAUUAAGCCAUGCAUGUGUAAGUUUAAAGACCUAGUAAGAUGAAACUGCGGACGGCUCAUUAUAACAGUAAUAGUUUCUUUGGUUAGUAAGUACAAGGAUAACUUUGUGAAUGAUAAAGCUAAUACUUGAGACGAUCCAGGGAGUAUUUAUACUUCAGGGCCGUUGACCGUAAGGUUAACGAAUAAUGACGUUCACUUGUGAAAAAGGACGCCACGACAAUUGACGAAAGCUACGCUUUUUACAAGUAACCAAUUAGA